AACGCGAAGAACCUUACCUGGGUUUGACAUGCACAGGACGACGGCAGAGAUGCCGUUUCCCUUGUGGCCUGUGUGCAGGUGGUGCAUGGCUGUCGUCAGCUCGUGUCGUGAGAUGUUGGGUUAAGUCCCGCAACGAGCGCAACCCUUAUCCCUAGUUGCCAUCGGGUCAAGCCGGGCACUCUAGUGAAACCGCUUCGGAUAACGGAGAGGAAGGUGGGGAUGACGUCAAGUCCUCAUGGCCUUUAUGUCCAGGGCUACACACGUGCUACAAUGGCCGGUACAAACCGUCCCAAACCCGCGAGGGGGAGGCAAUCGGAAAAAGCCGGCCUCAGUUCGGAUUGGAGUCUGCAACUCGACUCCAUGAAGCUGGAAUCGCUAGUAAUCGCGGAUCAGAACGCCGCGGUGAAUACGUUCCCGGGCCUUGUACACACCGCUACAGU
rnacentral:rRNA from 1 species